GAUGAACGCUGGCGGCGUGCCUAAUACAUGCAAGUCGAGCGAACAGACGAGGAGCUUGCUCCUCUGACGUUAGCGGCGGACGGGUGAGUAACACGUGGAUAACCUACCUAUAAGACUGGGAUAACUUCGGGAAACCGGAGCUAAUACCGGAUAAUAUAUUGAACCGCAUGGUUCAAUAGUGAAAGACGGUUUUGCUGUCACUUAUAGAUGGAUCCGCGCCGCAUUAGGUAGUUGGUAAGGUAACGGCUUACCAAGGCAACGAUGCGGAUCCGAUCUGAGAGGAUGAUCAGCCACACGGGAACUGAGACAGGGUCCAGACUCCUGCGGGAGGCAGCAGUGGGGAAUAUUGGGCAAUGGGCGGAAGCCUGACGCAGCAAUGCCGCGUGGGUGAAGAAGGCCUUCGGAUUUUAAAACCCUUUUAUGGGGAAAGAAAAGGUGCAGGUUAAUAUCCCGGUGUUUUGACGGUACCCAAAAAAAAAGCCCCGGCUAACUUCGUG
rnacentral:rRNA from 1 species